rnacentral:lncRNA from 1 species
UCACUCUUCUUAGCCACCAUUAGAGACCAUGGAACUCUUCUCCCAAAGCCAUAAUACCCAUCCUCAUCACUGUAUAUUUCUCCGACUAGAUUCUUGUCGUCACUGACAUCCUCAUCACUGAGGGGGCUUAGAUCAAUGACCAACUCGCUCAACGACCAAUUUCUUUAGCCACUUCACCGCCCACAUCUUCCAGGUAUUCUUUCGAUUCCUUCCAUGGCUUCACACUCUGUUAUUCCUUUCUUUCUUUCUUUCUUUGAUUUCAAAUUGGGUUUCUUUUCAUCACUUCUAUUUCCUCCCAUCUCUCUUUUUCUGGUUAGGGUUUGUGUUUGGAUUCCCUGGUAUAUAUUUACUAAUUAUUAUGAGCAUCAAACCCUCACCAUACUUUCUCAUGCCUCAUCUCUGCACUCUUAUUCUUCUUUCCAUUUUCAUGUGCAUCGAAGCUUAGCUUGGAAUCAAUGAUUGCUCGUGUCCCUUCUCUUUUGUCUUUUUUUGUCUUCCGUGCAUAAGAUGAAGUUGAAAAUUUUAGUGAUAUGAAAUUCAAUGCAGUCUGCUAUUAUUAUAGUGCCUUGUCUGCACCUAAUGAAAUCAAAGGUUAUGGAAGCUUCGGAUAGAGCAAAGCUCUUCCUAAUUAGGAUGCUACACUUUGACUCAUCUUAAUCUUGUUUCUUUUUUUUUUUCAUUUUAUUUAUCUAUUUUUUUAUUUUUUUAUUUUGAAUCCAUCAAAGUAGUAACUCCCUUGGACUAAUUUUGUUCUUCAUGUAAACACUAAGAAGUGGAAAAAUGAAUAUUAAGUUUAUCGAAAUUAAUGGGUAUGGACUAGAAGCAUUUUGUCAAAAAUCUGAAAAUUCAGAUGUUGAAAAUCAUAUCAUUUGAUUAGAUUUAUCUCAUGUACAAUUGCUAUUCAGGAGAAACAUUGGAUAGGUUUUGGGGUUUAUGCAAUUUUGGAGGGAAAAGGCUUCCUAAUUUACCUUCCUCAAUUUUAAUUUCUUAAAAUUCAAGUGGUAAUCUUAAAUGGACUUCAACAUCUGUUUUUCACCAACCAUUCUUUUACUUCUAUACAAAUCCUGUUAUCUCAUGUAUGGGGCAAAUGCAAUUUUGUGAUUUUCUAACUUCUUAAAAAUCAGGAAUUGACUUUUUAGGCUCAUUUUUACAUUUUUAAUUCAACUGAUUGACAUAAGCUUGAUAUUUGUUCUUUGAGUGGAAAUUCUGAUGCUUAGAGGAGAGACACUUUACUAAUUUUAUCUACUAGGUUGAAUGCAUUUGCUUUUUCUUCCUGCCAAUUUACUAAUUAUCAAAUUCCUUUUCUUUCUGGUUGGUUUUUCCCUAUCCUUUCUGUUUUCAUUUGAGGCCAUCAUAUCUCAGGCAAUUCACAUCCUGAGAGAGUUAGCUCCAACCAAAUUGGCAAGAGAGUUAGCUACAGAACAAGAUAUAAUAGCCAAGAUUGGCUUAUAAAUAUUCGAGAAUGAAAAUCUUACCAUUAUUUCAUUCUCUUUUAUUGAGCACCCAUUUUCCUUAAUGUGGAAUAUUUGAAACUCAAUGGUACAAAGAGAUACAAAAUUCAGAAGUAGUUUUAUAUUUCACAUAUGUCAUAGAGUUCUAAUUGAAAGACCAAUUGAAAGAAUCAAACUUUGGAUCUUAGGUAUUCAGUUAUAUGUUAUAACAGGUCUAACUGGUCUAAUCUACCUAAUUUGGUAAAUAAGAUGUUAGCAAGAUGAGGGUCAGCUUAGGAAGUCCCACAGCACAAGGCAAGCCACUUGUGAGAUUAAGCAGUCUGAUUAGGAAUACAAUGUUUGGCUUCACAAGUCAAUACAAGGCAAAAUUAAAACAUUAAUAAUUUGAUUUUAACCAAAAUUGAUGUCUUAACCACCAUGUUUCCUUUCUAAAUGAAGUAAGAUGGUUCAAUUUGAAUGGAACCUAAUUGAUUGGGAAAUUGAAAUAAGGUCACUUGCCGUUAGAAAUUGUUGUGAAGAGGAACUAACACAAUUUUUUUUUAUCAAACUUUGCUCUGCAUCAUGUUUGGCCCUCGAAACCCAUAUUUCACCUAAUUUAUUUGGUGGAAGAGGCUUCAAUGUAUCCACACUAACUAUUUGGGAUUCAUUUUUUUUUUCUUUUGGUUGAUUAUUCUCUUUUUUGCUUUCUUUUUUUCUUUGUUCCUUUUUGGUUUUCAAGUUAUAGAUCAUUUAAUCAAAGAAACAAUAACAAAAAAAAAAUUACUUUUACUUUAAUGUACUUUCAUUUUGGGUGCUAGGAGUCUUGUCUAGUGUGUGUGUGUGUGUGUUUUCCAGUUUUUAAUGUUUUUGGGUUUUCUCAAAAUACAAUGUAACUUCAAUGUUCCAUAAGAGAAAAAGAAAAAAAAAUCAAUCCCCAUCAAAGAAACAAAGAUUCAUUUAAUGAUUUCAUCUUACUAGUCACUUUAGCCAUUUAUCUGAAAGGGGUUUACUAUUAAGCUUCUUGUUUAGCUAUUUGCUAACAUCAUCCAUCUUCUUUAUCCAUUGACUACCCUAUGUAUCAAUAAUUUUAAAAACUCUCAUUUCAAUGCUUCAUUGUGCACAUGAUACAAUGAGCUAUAAUGCAUUGAAUUCCAGUCUUCAAACCUUUUACUUUCUUUUAUGUCAUGUUCAUUUGAUUUUUCUUUUUCAUUCCUUAACUGGAUGGGGGCAAUAGCCAUCUCUCUCAUUUGGCCCCUGCAUUUUGAAGAUAAGGCAUUUCCUUUUUCUUUCGUUGUGUGGAUGCACCUUCUAUGGCUAGGUUUAUCUUAAGUUGAAUAAAAAUCCAGUCCCCCAUAGGGCCAAUAUCAUCACUCCAAUGGCAUGUUUGCUUAUUGGCAGGGUGAACAAAUUGAGACUUUGGCAAGACAACAGUAAAGAGAAAGCAUAGAAAAGUUGAAACCUUUGGAGCAGCUCUAUUGUUAUCUUGAAAAGAGGAGGAAAUAGCAAGAUAUUAAUGAAAAAAAAUCUUUCCUAUUUUUCUCAGAAAAUGUGAUAGAAGUUUGAUAAAAUUAAUAAUUAAUAGUUUCCUAUUUUCUUUUUGUGGAAAAGGUAACAACAAAAAACUAUUUCAGAAGUUUUACCAUUAAGUCUGGAUUUUAUCAUGCAGGGGAUUAACCUUAAGCAUGAUAGAUAACCAGUAAACCCUUGACCAAAACAAUAUGAUUGCAAUUGGGGCUGCCAUCUCUCCAACCUCAUCAUACAAAGGUGGACAAUUUGAUAUCAGCUUAUUGGUCUGGAAGAAACUUAUUUUUUUUCCCUUUUGUUCUUUUUUUUUUGUUUUUGAUAUUGAAUAUGCUAAAGCUAAAUCUGAUUGCUAUGAAAGCGAAUUACUUACAAUAAGCAUAAGAAAUUUUUUAAAAUGAAUUUGUUUAUUAACUUAAUCUAUUCUAUAGAGCAUUUUAUCUUGCAAUGAUUUUUCCUUUCUUUCUUUCUUUCUUUCUUUCUUUUGAUCAUUGUAUGAAUUAUUACAAUAAUAAUAGUAAUAAAUAACAAGUAAUAGUUUUUAUAAUAUAAAGUUUUAUGUGAAAAGAAAUGCUUAAGAAAUUAAGUUUUUUUUAAGAAACAAAUGAAAAAAGGACUGAAACAGAAAAUACUUUUUUUUCUUCUUGCAUUCACAUUAUUGAAGUAUCUUAGAAUGAUAAUUAAGUAUAUAGAACAUCUUCUUGAGUCAAUUUUGGUCUUCAAAUAUUGAACUUGUGAAUGUACUUGCUGGCUUUGUAUUUAAACUGCCCUGAACUUAAUGAUUUGAAUAUGAAAUCCUAUACAAAUUUCUAUGCAGGUAUUAGUCCGAUGCCUUUCUUUGAGGUUAUGAUCUUUCCAAAAUCCCCCCUGGUUAGAUCAUAAGUAGAAUGAAAAUUUUAGAGUCCUAAGUAUGGCCUUUCU